AUUGAACGCUGGCGGCAUGCUUUACACAUGCAAGUCGAACGGCCGCGCGGGCUUCGGCCUGGCGGCGAGUGGCGAACGGGUGAGUAAUGCAUCGGAACGUGCCCAGUCGUGGGGGAUAGCCCGGCGAAAGCCGGCUUAAUACCGCAUACGACCUGAGGGUGAAAGCGGGGGACCGAAAGUGCUCGCGCGAUUUGCGGGGACGUUGUCGGAUUUGCUAGCUGGUGGGGUAACGGCUUACCAAGGCGACGAACCGUAGCUGGUCUGAGAGGGCGACCAGCCACACUGGGACUGAGACACGGCCCAGACUCCUACGGGAGGCAGCAGUGGGGAAUUUUGGACAAUGGGGGCAACCCUGAUCCAGCCAUGCCGCGUGCGGGAAGAAGGCCUUCGGGUUGUAAACCGCUUUUGUUCGGGAAGAAAUCCUCUGGGCUAAUACCCCGGGGGGAUGACGGUACCGGAAGAAUAAGCACCGGCUAACUACGUG
rnacentral:rRNA from 1 species